rnacentral:rRNA from 1 species
UACGGGGGGGGCAAGCGUUGUUCGGAAUUACUGGGCGUAAAGGGCUCGUAGGCGGCCAACUAAGUCGGAUGUGAAAUCCCCAGGCUUAACCUGGGAACUGCAUCCGAUACUGGAUGGCUUGAAUUCGGGAGAGGGAUGCAGAAUUCCAGGUGUAGCGGUGAAAUGCGUAGAUAUCGGGAGGAACACCAGUGGCGAAGGCGACUUCCUGGCCUGUUCUUGACGCUGAGGCGCGAAAGCUAGGGGAGCAAACGGG